rnacentral:misc_RNA from 1 species
AGAACAAAGGCUCCGCCCAUUUCCAUGGCUCAAGGUGGUUAGUGGUUCAAGCGCCCCGACAAAAAAAAAGAAGAAAAGAGCACAAAAGAUUUUCUUCGAAAAAUCGCCACACCACCACGAAUUGAAAUCGAUCGAUUUGCGAACACUCAACUGAAAACAAUCAAAAAAUGCUGGAAAUAUCACCAUGGGAGACGUUGGUUAAGCUCUUGACAGAUUCAUUACUCAAUUGUACAGGAACUCAUGAAGAUGUACCACAUGCAAAAACAUUUCUUAGAUCGCUCACAACCACAUAUAUUGCCUCGCUGGCCGUGGCAACUGCAGUAACCGUGGGUACAGUAUGCCUUGCAGUUCUACAUCUCAUCUACAUUCACUUCUACAUCACACAUUCCAGUAGACGACUGCACAUUGUGCUUCUGGCAUGCACUGCGCCGCUAGUUUCCCUACUUGCACUUGUGGCAAUGUACAUGCCACGUGUAUGGUUUUUGUCUCAUCUUCUCUCGUUUCUCUAUUUUUCGUUUGCUCUCUGGGUCAUCAUAUGUCUACUUUUACACAUAUUCGAUGGACAUCAUGCCCUUGUCACGAAAAUGAUGCAGCGAUUACAGUAUGUUGAGAUAGCAACACCUCCAUUCUGUUGCCUAUUUCCAUGUCUUCCAAAAGUCCGACUGGAAGGAAAAAAGAUAAGAUGGUGUGAGCUGAUGGUAAUGCAAGCGCCGAUCGUUCGCUUAUUUGCCACACUUGUCUCGCUUGUAAUCUACUUUGAAUAUCAAGAUCAGGGCCUUGUGUGAGUAAUUUCAAAAACUCUAAAUGGAAUUGAUAAUCAGAAACCUGCUGCUUCCAAAUAUAUUGUUUAAAACGUUGAAAAAAAAGAAAAUGUUGUGGCUACAGUAUCCACGAGAAUGUUGCAAUUCUCCCCCGAGUUAUUCAAUAUUUUCUGACAUAUUUGCCAUUAAAGCAAUCUACUUAUUGAAGAAAAACUGAAUUUAUUUUUCUAAAAGUCUGCCCAUUCCUAAAUUUCUAAAUUUGAUAUCUCCAUUUAAUAAUUAUUUUUCAUUUCAGCCCACUAAAAGUGCUCGACUUUAUCACACUUCCAUCUCUUUUGGCAGGAAUCUACGGAACUCACAUAUUAGUCACAACGGUUUCUCGGAUGGAUGAAUUAAUCUCGUACAGAUAUGUUGUUGUAUUCCGUCUUCUUGAUUUCUUCUUCAUGGUGUUCGGAUUGCAACAACCAGUUUUUGAUUUUCUCGCGAGAUAUGGAGCAUUUGGAUGUGGUACUGUACUUCCAGCAAUUGAGACUUCUUUCUACUGGAAGAACUUCUUCACAGUAAUUGAAGCAUUCUGUGUCACAUUAAUCAGCACUGUACUUCUACAACCAUCAAAAUCAUCAUUCUUUGACAAACAUCCAAGCUGCCGAUCGAUGAGCUCUGCGCGGAGCACAAUAACUGAUGUGGACACUGACGAGUCGACCACUUGAGAAUAUUAUCAUUUUCUUCAUAUACAAUAGCUUUUCCCCCUACUUUCUCAAUCCGUGAUCCUCUUCCACUUUCUAUUGCAUUUUCUAGUCAACUGAUGUCAACUAACUUUUCAUCCCUUUGUCUCACCCGUUCGUCCUGUGUGCAAAAUGUCUUUGCUGGAAUUUGCAACAACCGAAAAUUUAAAAAUCCCAAAACGUGUAGAACCUCAACCCCCAGAAAUGGAAAUAAACAUUUUCGAACUCAAUA